GAUGAACGCUGGCGGCGUGCCUAAUACAUGCAAGUCGAGCGAACGGACGAGAAGCUUGCUUUUCUGAUGUUAGCGGCGGGCGGGUGAGUAACACGUGGAUAACCUACCUAUAAGACUGGGAUAACUUCGGGAAACCGGAGCUAAUACCGGAUAAUAUUUUGAACCGCAUGGUUCAAAAGUGAAAGACGGUCUUGCUGUCACUUAUAGAUGGAUCCGCGCUGCAUUAGCUAGUUGGUAAGGUAACGGCUUACCAAGGCAACGAUGCAUAGCCGACCUGAGAGGGUGAUCGGCCACACUGGAACUGAGACACGGUCCAGACUCCUACGGGAGGCAGCAGUAGGGAAUCUUCCGCAAUGGGCGGAAGCCUGACGGAGCAACGCCGCGUGAGUGAUGAAGGUCUUCGGAUCGUAAAACUCUGUUAUUAGGGAAGAACAUAUGUGUAAGUAACUGUGCACAUCUUGACGGUACCUAAUCAGAAAGCCACGGCUAACUACGUG
rnacentral:rRNA from 1 species